rnacentral:rRNA from 1 species
GGGUUGUGAGGUUAAGCGACUAAGCGUACACGGUGGAUGCCCUGGCAGUCAGAGGCGAUGAAGGACGUGCUAAUCUGCGAAAAGCGCCGGCGAGGUGAUAUGAACCUUUGACCCGGCGAUGUCCGAAUGGGGAAACCCAGUGCAAUCCGUUGCACUAUCGUUAACUGAAUACAUAGGUUAACGAGGCGAACCGGGGGAACUGAAACAUCUAAGUACCCCGAGGAAAAGAAAUCAACCGAGAUUCCCCCAGUAGCGGCGAGCGAACGGGGAGCAGCCCGGAGUCUGAAUCAGCUUGUGUGUUAGUGGAACGGUCUGGAAAGUCCGACGGUACAGGGUGAUAGUCCCGUACACGAAAGCACACUUGCUGUGAACUCGAAGAGUAGGGCGGGACACGUGGUAUCCUGUCUGAAUAUGGGGGGACCAUCCUCCAAGGCUAAAUACUCCUGACUGACCGAUAGUGAACCAGUACCGUGAGGGAAAGGCGAAAAGAACCCCGGCGAGGGGAGUGAAAAAGAACCUGAAACCGUGUACGUACAAGCAGUGGGAGCCUACUUGUUAGGUGACUGCGUACCUUUUGUAUAAUGGGUCAGCGACUUAUAUUCUGUAGCAAGGUUAACCGUAUAGGGGAGCCGAAGGGAAACCGAGUCUUAACUGGGCGUUAAGUUGCAGGGUAUAGACCCGAAACCCGGUGAUCUAGCCAUGGGCAGGUUGAAGGUUGGGUAACACUAACUGGAGGACCGAACCGACUAAUGUUGAAAAAUUAGCGGAUGACCUGUGGCUGGGGGUGAAAGGCCAAUCAAACCGGGAGAUAGCUGGUUCUCCCCGAAAGCUAUUUAGGUAGCGCCUCGUGAAUUCAUCUUCGGGGGUAGAGCACUGUUUCGGCUAGGGGGCCAUCCCGGCUUACCAACCCGAUGCAAACUACGAAUACCGAAGAAUGUUAUCACGGGAGACACACGGCGGGUGCUAACGUCCGUCGUGAAGAGGGAAACAACCCAGACCGCCAGCUAAGGUCCCAAAGUCAUGGUUAAGUGGGAAACGAUGUGGGAAGGCACAGACAGCCAGGAUGUUGGCUUAGAAGCAGCCAUCAUUUAAAGAAAGCGUAAUAGCUCACUGGUCGAGUCGGCCUGCGCGGAAGAUGUAACGGGGCUAAACCAUGCACCGAAGCUGCGGCAGCGACACUAUGUGUUGUUGGGUAGGGGAGCGUUCUGUAAGCCGUUGAAGGUGUCCUGUGAGGGGUGCUGGAGGUAUCAGAAGUGCGAAUGCUGACAUAAGUAACGAUAAAGCGGGUGAAAAGCCCGCUCGCCGGAAGACCAAGGGUUCCUGUCCAACGUUAAUCGGGGCAGGGUGAGUCGACCCCUAAGGCGAGGCCGAAAGGCGUAGUCGAUGGGAAACAGGUUAAUAUUCCUGUACUUGGUGUUACUGCGAAGGGGGGACGGAGAAGGCUAUGUCAGCCGGGCGACGGUUGUCCCGGUUUAAGCAUGUAGGCGGAGGUUCCAGGUAAAUCCGGUACCUUAUUAACGCUGAGGUGUGAUGACGAGGCACUACGGUGCUGAAGUGAUAAAUGCCCUGCUUCCAGGAAAAGCCUCUAAGCAUCAGGUAACACGAAAUCGUACCCCAAACCGACACAGGUGGUCAGGUAGAGAAUACCAAGGCGCUUGAGAGAACUCGGGUGAAGGAACUAGGCAAAAUGGUGCCGUAACUUCGGGAGAAGGCACGCUGAUGUGUAGGUGAAGUCCCUGCGGACGGAGCUGAAAUCAGUCGAAGAUACCAGCUGGCUGCAACUGUUUAUUAAAAACACAGCACUGUGCAAACACGAAAGUGGACGUAUACGGUGUGACGCCUGCCCGGUGCCGGAAGGUUAAUUGAUGGGGUCAGCGGCAACGCGAAGCUCUUGAUCGAAGCCCCGGUAAACGGCGGCCGUAACUAUAACGGUCCUAAGGUAGCGAAAUUCCUUGUCGGGUAAGUUCCGACCUGCACGAAUGGCGUAAUGAUGGCCAGGCUGUCUCCACCCGAGACUCAGUGAAAUUGAACUCGCUGUGAAGAUGCAGUGUACCCGCGGCAAGACGGAAAGACCCCGUGAACCUUUACUAUAGCUUGACACUGAACACUGGUCCUUGAUGUGUAGGAUAGGUGGGAGGCUUUGAAGCGUGGACGCCAGUCUGCGUGGAGCCAACCUUGAAAUACCACCCUUUAAUGGCUGGUGUUCUAACGUAGACCCGUAAUCCGGGUUGCGGACAGUGUCUGGUGGGUAGUUUGACUGGGGCGGUCUCCUCCCAAAGAGUAACGGAGGAGCACGAAGGUUGGCUAAUCCUGGUCGGACAUCAGGAGGUUAGUGCAAUGGCAUAAGCCAGCUUGACUGCGAGCGUGACGGCGCGAGCAGGUGCGAAAGCAGGUCAUAGUGAUCCGGUGGUUCUGAAUGGAAGGGCCAUCGCUCAACGGAUAAAAGGUACUCCGGGGAUAACAGGCUGAUACCGCCCAAGAGUUCAUAUCGACGGCGGUGUUUGGCACCUCGAUGUCGGCUCAUCACAUCCUGGGGCUGAAGUAGGUCCCAAGGGUAUGGCUGUUCGCCAUUUAAAGUGGUACGCGAGCUGGGUUUAGAACGUCGUGAGACAGUUCGGUCCCUAUCUGCCGUGGGCGCUGGAGAAUUGAGGGGGGCUGCUCCUAGUACGAGAGGACCGGAGUGGACGCAUCACUGGUGUUCGGGUUGUCAUGCCAAUGGCACUGCCCGGUAGCUAAAUGCGGAAGAGAUAAGUGCUGAAAGCAUCUAAGCACGAAACUUGCCCCGAGAUGAGUUCUCCCUGAGACCUUGAGUCUCCUGAAGGAACGUUGAAGACGACGACGUUGAUAGGUCGGGUGUGUAAGCGCAGCGAUGCGUUGAGCUAACCGAUACUAAUGAACCGUGAGGCUUAACCUUACAACGCCGAAGCUGUU